GAUGUUUCCAAUUUCCAGGCCAUUCUCCAAUUUUCAACUCCAAUGACAGACAACACAUGCUGAAAUGGCCAUUUAGAGGUCCUGACAUUAUACAACAAAUAAACCACUGUGGCUGCCUGCACCAUUCAAAACAGGGAACAGUCACAUAAAGGUAUAGGACAUAAGACAUCUGUGCUUGGACCUUGAGAGACUGAAGCACACACCUCCAGGUCUUCUCGGCCCUGAAACAAUAGCCAUUCAGAACUUUUGUUUUUUUAUUGCUCCAGUUUUUUAGCAUUCUAAAUAUGUGGAACAUUUUGAAAUGGAAUAAUUACAGAGGAAAAUAAAGGGAAACCGAUAGCGCUGCGGUGAGAACUUGGCAGCGCUUCAGCCGCAGCCUGAGCCAGAGCGGGAAGGGAGCAG